rnacentral:rRNA from 1 species
AGGACGAACGCUGGCGGCGUGCUUAACACAUGCAAGUCGAGCGAGGCCCUUCCUUCGGGAAGGUGCCCUAGCGGCGAACGGGUGAGUAACACGUGGGCAACCUGCCCCUAGCACUGGGAUAACUCCGGGAAACCGGGGCUAAUACCGGAUAUUACCUUCUUGGGCAUCCUCGAAGGUGUAAAGGAUUCUGGCUAGGGAUGGGCCCGCGGCCUAUCAGCUUGUUGGUGGGGUAACAGCCUACCAAGGCGACGACGGGUAGCCGGCCUGAGAGGGUGACCGGCCACACUGGGACUGAGACACGGCCCAGACUCCUACGGGAGGCAGCAGUGGGGAAUCUUGCACAAUGGGCGAAAGCCUGAUGCAGCGACGCCGCGUGAGGGAUGACUGCCUUCGGGUUGUAAACCCCUGUUGCCCGGGACGAAUGUGCACUUUAGAGUGCAUUGACGGUACCGGUGAGGAAGCACCGGCUAACUCCGUGCCAGCAGCCGCGGUAA